CAGGUAGUUGUGCGGCAAAACCUGUUUGACCACCACGCUGCGCAGGAUCGAGUCCUGCCAGGCUUGCCA
rnacentral:tRNA from 1 species